rnacentral:rRNA from 1 species
GACGAACGCUGGCGGCGUGCUUAACACAUGCAAGUCGAACGGAAAGGCCCUGCUUUUGUGGGGUGCUCGAGUGGCGAACGGGUGAGUAACACGUGAGUAACCUGCCCUUGACUUUGGGAUAACUUCAGGAAACUGGGGCUAAUACCGGAUAGGAGCUCCUGCUGCAUGGUGGGGGUUGGAAAGUUUCGGCGGUUGGGGAUGGACUCGCGGCUUAUCAGCUUGUUGGUGGGGUAGUGGCUUACCAAGGCUUUGACGGGUAGCCGGCCUGGGAGGGUGACCGGCCACAUUGGGACUGAGCUACGGCCCAGACUCCUACGGGAGGCAGCGGUGGAGAAUAUUGCACAAUGGGCGGGAGCCUGAUGCAGCAACGCCGCGUGCGGGAUGACGGCCUUCGGGUUGUGAACCGCUUUCGCCUGUGACGAAGCGUGAGUGACGGUAAUGGGUGAAGAAGCACCGGCUAACUACGUG